CCCCCCCAGGCCGAAUGUCCAACCCGUCANAGACAGANAGUCGUACAAGUUUCCGAGGAACNCGGAAGAUCAUACCGAGUGUAGGUCCUAGGGAGCCCAACCUCCCACCCGUGUUUACUGGUACCUUAGUUGCUUCGGCGGGCCCGCCAUUCAUGGCCGCCGGGGGCUCUCAGCCCCGGGCCCGCGCCCGCCGGAGACACCACGAACUCUGUCUGAUCUAGUGAAGUCUGAGUUGAUUGUAUCGCAAUCAGUUAAAACUUUCAACAAUGGAUCUCUUGGUUCCGGCAUCGAUGAAGAACGCAGCGAAAUGCGAUAACUAGUGUGAAUUGCAGAAUUCCGUGAAUCAUCGAGUCUUUGAACGCACAUUGCGCCCCCUGGUAUUCCGGGGGGCAUGCCUGUCCGAGCGUCAUUGCUGCCCAUCAAGCACGGCUUGUGUGUUGGGUCGUCGUCCCCUCUCCGGGGGGGACGGGCCCCAAAGGCAGCGGCGGCACCGCGUCCGAUCCUCGAGCGUAUGGGGCUUUGUCACCCGCUCUGUAGGCCCGGCCGGCGCUGCCGAACGCAAAUCAAUCUUUUAUCCAGGUGACCUCGGAUCAGGUAG
rnacentral:rRNA from 1 species